rnacentral:tRNA from 1 species
GGAGAGAUAGCUCAUUUGGUAGAGUGCUUACCAAGUAUGCAGGAAGUCCUGGGUUUGAUUCCCAGUACUGCCA